CAACCUUUGACAUGUCCCGUAUGAGCAUCAGAGAUGAAGCUCUUCAGUUCGGCUGGCGGGAACACAGGUGCUGCAUGGCUGUCGUCAGCUCGUGUCGUGAGAUGUUGGGUUAAGUCCCGCAACGAGCGCAACCCUCGCCAUUAGUUGCCAUCAUUAAGUUGGGCACUCUAAUGGGACCGCCGGUGGUAAGCCGGAGGAAGGUGGGGAUGACGUCAAGUCCUCAUGGCCCUUAUGGGCUGGGCUACACACGUGCUACAAUGGCGGUGACAGAGGGAAGCGAGGGUGCGAGCCCGAGCCGAUCCCUAAAAGCCGUCUCAGUUCGGAUUGCACUCUGCAACUCGCCUGCAUGAAGCCGGAGUUGCUAGUAAACGCGCGUCAGCUAUAGUGCGUUGAAUACGUUCUCGGGCCUUGUACACACCGCCCGUCACGUCAUGGGAGCUGGUAACACCUGAAGCCGGUAGCCUAACCGCAAGGAGGGCGCCGUCGAAGGUGGGGCUGGUGACUGGGACG
rnacentral:rRNA from 1 species